AACGCCGGCUCAUGUUGUGCAUUCAAAACAGCACUUUUUAGCCAAGAGAAAUAGAGAAAGAACAGAGGGGAAGCCCCUAGUGUAAUCCUGGCAUGUCUGUGCGGACACAGAGCCUGAAUAUUUCUCUCUCUGCGGCAGGAAAGGAACAAACCAGAUUACGAUACAGAACUGCUGCCCCGUGCUCUGUGCUUUCAUUACAAAUAGUAACGAAGUGAUCAGGGCUGGAUUGACUGUCCUUGCUGCCCCAAGGCAGGUAUUCUCAAUAUACCCCAAUGUGUGUGUGAGUGUGUGUGUAUAUGCAUGCGUGGAUGGUUGGAUUGAGGCUGAGUUUUUGUGGGAAUGCGGCUCGUUGGUGUGGUGUUGCAUGUUCAUGGGUGGCUGCUUGUUGUGUUGCAUUCUGGACUGUAGUGGCGGAAUUGGAGAUUUAGUGGGUGGGGGUAGUGGCUAUAAUGGGGUGACACUGGCUGUGGUGGGGUGACCGGGAUUGUGUUG